rnacentral:rRNA from 1 species
GUCUCUUUGUAAAUAAUAGAUGAAGAGUCGGGCCUGCUCGGUGAAUAAUUUUUUUUAACAGCUGCGGUAUUUUAACUGUACUAAGGUAGCAUAAUAAUUUGCCUUAUAAUUUGAGGCUAGAAUGAAUGGUUUGACGAAGGUUAAUCUGUCUCUAUCCUAUUUUUUAGAAUUUAAUUUUUAAAGUGAAAAAGCUUGUAUUUUUUAAGGGGACGAGAAGACCCUAUUGAGCUUAUAAUUUUAUUGUUAUUUAUUAGUAUAUUGUGGUAUAAUAACAUAUAAAUUUUAAUUGGGGUGAUUAAGGAAUAAAAGUAUUAUAAUUAGUAACUUCCUUAGAAUAUUUAUUGUUGGAUGAAGUAACCAAUAUUAUUGCUUAUAAGAUAGUUACCAUAGGGAUAACAGCGUAAUUUAUUUAGAGAGUUCUUAUUGAAAAAUGAGAUUGCGACCUCGAUGUUGGAUUAAAGUAACCUUAAGGUGAAGAAGCUUUAGAAGGUAAAUCUGUUCGAUUUUUAAAACUUUACA